GAUGAAGAACGUAGCGAAAUGCGAUAAGUAGUGUGAAUUGCAGAAUUCAGUGAAUCAUCGAAUCUUUGAACGCACAUUGCGCCCCUCGGUAUUCCGUGGGGCAUGCCUGUUCGAGCGUCAUUUAACCCCUCAAGCCUAGCUUGGUAUUGGGUGCUUGUCCCGCCUCUCGCGCGGCGACUCACCUCAAAGUCAUUGGCGGCCCGCAUCUCGCCGGCCGUGAGCGCAGCACAGACGCGCUCUUGGCAACGACGGAUCGGCUCUCCAAAAGCUUAUUUCAACCACUGACCUCGGAUCAGGUAGGGAUACCCGCUGAACUUAAGCAUAUCAAUAAGCGGAGGA
rnacentral:misc_RNA from 1 species